AUCCUUCUAGGGUAACAAAAAAAUGAUGAUUGGUCUGAUCACAAAUGUUUGUGAGACGUGUUGCCAAGUUUACCUUGUUACGAUUAAACACGUUGACCAUCUGAUU